CGAGUUUGAUCAUGGCUCAGAUUGAACGCUGGCGGCAUGCCUUACACAUGCAAGUCGAACGGCAGCACGGGAGCAAUCCUGGUGGCGAGUGGCGAACGGGUGAGUAAUAUAUCGGAACAUACCGUAGAGUGGGGGAUAACGUAGCGAAAGUUACGCUAAUACCGCAUACGAACUAAGGUUGAAAGUGGGGGGAUCGCAAGACCUCAUGCUCAUGGAGUGGCCGAUAUCUGAUUAGCUAGUUGGUGAGGUAAAGGCUCACCAAGGCGACGAUCAGUAGCUGGUUUGAGAGAACGACCAGCCACACUGGAACUGAGACACGGUCCAGACUCCUACGGGAGGCAGCAGUGGGGAAUAUUGGACAAUGGGCGAAAGCCUGAUCCAGCAAUGCCGCGUGAGUGAUGAAGGCCUUAGGGUUGUAAAGCUCUUUUACCCGAGAUGAUAAUGACAGUAUCGGGAGAAUAAGCUCCGGCUAACUCCGUG
rnacentral:rRNA from 1 species